GGGGGGGGGGGGCGGGGGGGGUGGGGGGGGGGGGGCGGGCGGGGGGGGCGGGCGGGUGGGGGGUGCGCGGGUGGGGGGCGGGGGGGGGCCACGUGAGUCGCCGGCCCUGGACUGGGGGGUACCUGCCGGAAGCUGGGGCCGAUACCGGCGAGGAGCUCCUGCUGCCGGGCGGGGGUUGGAAAGUUCCGGCGGUUGGGGCUGGACUCGCGGCCUAUCAGCCUGUUGGUGGGGUAGUGGCUUACCAAGGCGUUGACGGGUAGCCGGCCUGAGAGGGUGACCGGCCACAUUGGGACUGAGGUACGGCCCAGACGCCUACGGGAGGCAGCAGUGGGGAAUAUUGCACAAUGGGCGGAAGCCGGAUGCAGCAACGCCGCGUGCGGGAUGACGGCCUUCGGGUUGUAAACCGCUUUCGCCUGUGACGAAGCGUGAGUGACGGUAAUGGGUAAAGAAGCACCGGCUAACUACGUG
rnacentral:rRNA from 1 species